rnacentral:rRNA from 2 species
UGGUUAACAUGCCUGCCUGUCACGUUCCCAUACCGAACACGGAAGUUAAGCUCUCUAGCGCCGAUGGUAGUUGGGACCUUGUCCCUGUGAGAGUAGGACGUCGCCAAGCA